rnacentral:rRNA from 1 species
UGGUGAACAUAGCAAGCGUGAACCACCCGAUCCCAUCCCGAACUCGGAAGUGAAACCGCUUAGCGCCGAUGAUAGUGUGGCAGGUUGCCAUGUGAAAGUAGGUCAUCGCCAAGCU